CAAUAGCGUAUAUUAAAGUUGUUGCAGUUAAAAAGCUCGUAGUUGGAUCUGUGGCGUGCGGUGUGUUCCGGGCACUUGUUGUCUGAGUAACCUGCCGCUGCCAUCCUUGGGUGGAACCUGUGUGGCAUUAGGUUGUCGUGCAGGGGAUGCCCAUCAUUUACUGUGAAAAAAUUAGAGUGUUCAAAGCAGGCUUAUGCCGUUGAAUAUAUUAGCAUGGAAUAAUGAGAUAGGACUUUUUUGCUAUUUUGUUGGUUUGCGCAAAGAGGUAAUGAUUAAUAGGGACAGUUGGGGGUAUUCGUAUUCCAUUGUCAGAGGUGAAAUUCUUGGAUUUUUGGAAGACGAACUACUGCGAAAGCAUUUACCAAGGAUGUUUUCAUUAA
rnacentral:rRNA from 1 species